UACGUAGGGGGCAAGCGUUGUCCGGAAUCAUUGGGCGUAAAGAGCGCGUAGGCGGCCCUGUAAGUCCGCUGUGAAAGUCAAGGGCUCAACCCCUUGAAUGCCGGUGGAUACUGCAGGGCUAGAGUCCGGAAGAGGCGAGUGGAAUUCCUGGUGUAGCGGUGAAAUGCGCAGAUAUCAGGAGGAACACCGAUGGCGAAGGCAGCUCGCUGGGACGGUACUGACGCUGAGGCGCGAAAGCGUGGGGAGCAAACAGG
rnacentral:rRNA from 1 species